GACGAACGCUGACGGCGUGCUUAACACAUGCAAGUCGAAGGGAGUGGCGAACGGGUGAGUAACACGUGAGUAACCUGCCCUUUUCUUUGGGAUAAGCCUGGGAAACUGGGUCUAAUACUGGAUGGAUUGGGAUGGGCUCGCGGCUUAUAAGCUGGUUGGUGGGGUGAUGGUUUACCAAGGCUUUGACGGGUCGCCGGCCUGAGAGGGUGAUCGGUAACGCUGGGACUGAGAUACGGCCCAGACUCCUACGGGAGGGAGCAGUGGGGGAUAUGGCACAAUGGACGAAAGGCUGAUGCAGCGUCGCCGCGUGGGGGAUGAAGGCUUUCGGGUUGUAAACCUCUUUCGCUAGCGAACGGGUAGGUGGAGAAGAAGCGCCGGCUAACUACGUGCCAGCCGCCGCGGUAAUAC
rnacentral:rRNA from 1 species